GAUGAACGCUGGCGGCGUGCUUAAUACAUGCAAGUCGAGCGAACAGACCUGGAGUUUGCUCCUCAGACGUUAUCGUCGGAUGGCGAAGUAACAAGUGACUAACCUAUCUUUAAGCCUGAGCUAACUUCGGGACACCGGAGCCAAUACCGGAUAAUAUAUUGAACUGCAUGGUUCAACAGUGAAAGACGGUUGUUCUGUCACUUAUAGAUGGUUCCGCGCCGCAUUAGCUAGUUGGUAAGGUAACGGUUUACUAAGGCAACGAUGCGUAGCAGACCUGGGAGGGUGAUCGGCCACGCUGGAACUGAGACACGGUCCAGACUCCUACUGGAGGCGGCAGUAGGGAAUCUGACGCAAUGGGCGAGAGCGUGACGGAGCAACGCCGCGUGAGUGAUGAAGGUCUUCGGAUCGUAAAACUCUGUUAUUAGGGAAGAACAAAUGUGUAAGUAACUAUGCACGUCUUGACGGUAGCUAAUCAGAAAGCCACGGCUAACUACGUG
rnacentral:rRNA from 1 species